rnacentral:rRNA from 1 species
AGAGUUUGAUCCUGGCUCAGAACGAACGCUGGCGGCGUGCUUAACACAUGCAAGUCGAACGCGAAAGGGACUUCGGUCCUGAGUAAAGUGGCGCACGGGUGAGUAACGCGUAGAUAACCUGUCUUCGAGUCUGGAAUAAUACACCGAAAGGGGUACUAAUACCGGAUAUUCUUGCAUUUCAUAAGGAGUGUAAGCAAAGGUGGCCUCUGCAUAUGCUACUGCUUGAAGAGGGGUCUGCGUACCAUUAGCUAGUAGGCGGGGUAAUGGCCCACCUAGGCUACGAUGGUUAGCGGGUCUGAGAGGAUGAUCCGCCACACUGGCACUGGAACACGGGCCAGACUCCUACGGGAGGCAGCAGUGAGGAAUAUUGCGCAAUGGGGGCAACCCUGACGCAGCGACGCCGCGUGAGUGAGGAAGGCCUUCGGGUCGUAAAGCUCUGUCAAAGGGAAAGAAAUGUAUAAUGGCUAAUACCUGUUAUAUUUGACGGUACCCUUAAAGGAAGCACCGGCUAACUCCGUGCCAGCAGCCGCGGUAAUACGGAGGGUGCAAGCGUUGUUCGGAAUCACUGGGCGUAAAGGGCGCGCAGGCGGUUUGGUAAGUCAGAUGUGAAAGCCCACGGCUUAACCGUGGAAGUGCAUUUGAAACUGCCAGACUUGAGUAUCAGAGGGGAAAGUGGAAUUCCCGGUGUAGAGGUGAAAUUCGUAGAUAUCGGGAGGAAUACCGGUGGCGAAGGCGACUUUCUGGCUGAAUACUGACGCUGAGGCGCGAAAGCGUGGGGAGCAAACAGGAUUAGAUACCCUGGUAGUCCACGCCGUAAACGAUGUCAACUAGAUGUAGGGGGUGUUGAUCCCCUCUGUGUCGCAGCUAACGCAUUAAGUUGACCGCCUGGGGAGUACGGUCGCAAGAUUAAAACUCAAAGGAAUUGACGGGGGCCCGCACAAGCGGUGGAGUAUGUGGUUUAAUUCGAUGCAACGCGAAGAACCUUACCUGGUCUUGACAUCCCGGGAAUCCUUUGGAACUUAGGAGUGCCUUCAUUAGAAGGAGCCCGGAGACAGGUGCUGCAUGGCUGUCGUCAGCU